UACGUAGGGUGCAAGCGUUAAUCGGAAUUACUGGGCGUAAAGCGUGCGCAGGCGGUUGUGCAAGACCGAUGUGAAAAUCCCCCGGGCUUAACCUGGGAAUGGCAUUGGUGACUGCACGGCUAGAGUGUGUCAGAGGGGGGGUAGAAUUCCACGUGUAGCAGUGAAAAUGCGUAGAGAUGUGGAGGAAUACCGAUGGCGAAGGCAGCCCCCUGGGAUAACACUGACGCUCAUGCAACGAAAGCGUGGGGAGCAAACAGG
rnacentral:rRNA from 1 species